UGAGUUUGAUCCUGGCUCAGGAUGAACGCUAGCUACAGGCUUAAUACAUGCAAGUCGAGGGGCAGCAUACAGAUAGCUUGCUAUCAGUGAUGGCGACCGGCGCACGGGUGAGUAACGCGUAUCCAACCUUCCCGUAGUAGGGCACAGCCCGGCGAAAGUCGGAUUAAUUCCCUAUGUUCUCCAAUGCAGACAUCUAAGUUGGAGCAAAGGUUUACCGCUAUGGGAUGGGGAUGCGUCUGAUUAGGUUGUCGGCGGGGUAACGGCCCACCGAGCCCGCGAUCAGUAGGGGUUCUGAGAGGAAGGUCCCCCACAUUGGAACUGAGACACGGUCCAAACUCC
rnacentral:rRNA from 1 species